UGGGUGUAGGUAGCUAGAGAAUUGCCUAUCCAAAUAGCUCUGAAUCCCCUCAAUACAAACUAGAAUCCUUCUCUUCUGUUGGAAGACAUUUUCAAAGACAAAUUUAUUCCAUUCCUUAAGCUUAUUUGCUAAAUAUCAUAAGGUUUAUGGGCAUCCAUAUUUCUUGUAGAAAAGAACCAAAGUUAGAAUGUGAAAGCCAAGCAUUUUGAAAUUUAAAAGGGCGAUCCAACACAGGAGGAGCAUGAAAACUGUGGAACUUGACGAGAAUGGGCCUAUGAUCCGAUUGAAUGCGGGCAAGGUAAAAAAUGACCACUGCUAGAAAAUUAGACCUCCAUAUAUUAUUACAAAGCAAUCUCUCAAAAAGAUUUCCUCGCUGCCAAGUAAAUCUAAGUCCUUUAAAGUUUAGGUCAAAUAGUAGGGAUUGAGAAAACUAGUUAGAGAAAUCUUGAGAAACUCCUGACUUGUGCAAAGACCCCCCAUGCCUCUCUUCCAAAGAAAGUAAUGCAUUGAAGUCACUGGCCAAUUACCAGCUAUCAUUCACACUUAUUUUCAAAGAAAGCCAAUUAUUCCAUAAUAUUCUCCUACAAACGGCCACCGGGCUGCCAUAGACAGUAGGAAAAAAAGUAAGAGGAUAAAAAGUAAGAGUGUGGAUAAGCUGUUUAUCGUUCAAGAGCACAUGAAUCUCUCAAUUUGAAUUCCAUAGGAAUCAAAUUCCCCGGAGAAGCCAUUAGCCUCAAUCCUGUGUGAACGAGCACACCUCAAUUUCUUGACAAAAUUAUCUGCUUUCUUACUACUAAUGCGGGGUUCGAGGAGGACCAAAAGAUCCGAAUGGUGUCUCUCCAGAAUUAACCUAAAAGCAGUUAUAAAGGUCGGGCUGCCUGCCCCUUGAUAAUUCGAAGUUAAGAUGGACAUAAUCAUAACAGGCAAACAAAGGAGAAGAACGAUCACACCUUAGUACCGGAGAUAAAGGUCCCCAAAUGGUUCCUCUUCAAACACACUAUCUUCGUCCUUAUCAACUUCACCUCCUUCCUGGGCGAUACUCUUAUCCUCAUCUAGAUUGGGUAAAAGGAUGGGCGAAGAGAGCAUACCAUUAAAACCACCCGCUGUUGCUGGUCCAAUGAGGCUUUAAGGGUUUGAAACAUGGCACACAUGGAACAAAGGCAUGUCUGGCGACCUACUAUGGGAAAUAGGCAUGAGGAUGGCAUUGUGAAUCUCUCAUUAGCUACAUAUAGGAAAGACCCAAAAGGAUCAUAACUCUGCAUAGCAUCAAUCCUAACCACUGUGUGUGUUGUUAGAGAUAAUACUGAAACAUGUUAGAAUUUGUCAAUUUUUGUUAGAAUAAAAUUCUUAUUUUUCAGUCAUUGUGGAUUAUUAGGGAAAUCGUUUCUGUUAAUAAUGUUCCUAAUUUUUUGGCUUGUUUAUUGUGAUUUUCUUGUAUUUAAAGAGUUCAUUUAUCAAUGGAAAAUAUGUUCUACCAAAUUAUCUUUUGUGCCUAUAACUUGUUUGAUAAAAGGCCUCUGUUGUUGUUUUUUUUUUACCUCUCUUUUAGAGAGAGAAGUCUCUGUGUAUACAUUCUUUUUGUUUUAACAUCUGGUAUCAAAGCCUGAUUACUCUAUGGCUAACAAUAGUAUCAAUACUUCUAUUCUAGCAAUUCCUAUCUUCAAAGGACAUGGGUAUGAAGCUUGGAGCACCAAAAUGAAGACUCUCUUCAUCUCUCAAGAUUUAUGUGAGUUUGUUAAGAAAAGCCACGAUGAAUCAGCAGUCGCAC
rnacentral:lncRNA from 1 species